ACAAACUAAUCAAUUCCUCUCAAAAAUCCAACCCUAAUCCUUUCCCUAAAGAUUAAGAACUCAUCCUAAGUUCAAGAAUUCCAGGAAAAGAAACAAGAUCCGGGUUCCAUCUUUCAAACUAAAUUAUCUAAGGAUUCUGAUACACAGUUCUAGGGUCCCGUUAAGCAGUAGAUUGACUUGUCACAAGUUCGCAGCUGGUGAGCCUCCCUUAUUUUGCAGGGCCUAAUGUAUAUGUCAUUGUUAUUUUAUUUUGAUUUAGGGUUUAACUGGGGGCCUUGUCCCAUUCUUUAGACAGAGAUUAUUUUCAGUUAGUAGAGAUUGCGCAGACAAGUGUUAGAUGUUGAUCUUUAUGAAUUUAUUUCAGUAUUGAGUAGUUUGAAAUAAAAGUUCACCAUGAUUCUGUUGUAA